UUAGCCUACGGGACGCAGCAGUGAGGAAUAUUGGUCAAUGGGCGAGAGCCUGAACCAGCCAAGUCGCGUGAGGGAGUACUGCCCUAUGGGUUGUAAACCUCUUUUGUCGGGGAGCAAAAGCCGGACGUGUCCGUCUGUGAGAGUACCCGAAGAAAAAGCAUCGGCUAACUCCGUGCCAGCAGCCGCGGUAAUACGGAGGAUGCGAGCGUUAUCCGGAUUUAUUGGGUUUAAAGGGUGCGCAGGCGGCGUGUCAAGCAAGCGGUAAAAUAGCGGGGCUCAACCCCGUCGAGCCGUUUGAACUGGCG
rnacentral:rRNA from 1 species